rnacentral:rRNA from 1 species
CCUACGGGGGGCAGCAGUGAGGAAUAUUGGUCAAUGUACGAGAGUCUGAACCAGCCAAGUAGCGUGAAGGAUGACUGCCCUAUGGGUUGUAAACUUCUUUUAUAUGGGAAUAAAAUGUUCCACGUGUGGGAUUUUGUAUGUACCAUAUGAAUAAGGAUCGGCUAACUCCGUGCCAGCAGCCGCGGUAAUACGGAGGAUCCGAGCGUUAUCCGGAUUUAUUGGGUUUAAAGGGAGCGUAGGUGGAUUGUUAAGUCAGUUGUGAAAGUUUGCGGCUCAACCGUAAAAUUGCAGUUGAAACUGGCAGUCUUGAGUACAGUAGAGGUGGGCGGAAUUCGUGGUGUAGCGGUGAAAUGCUUAGAUAUCACGAAGAACUCCGAUUGCGAAGGCAGUUCACUGGACUGCAACUGACACUGAGGCUCGAAAGUGUGGGUAUCAAACAGGAUUAGAUACCCUAGUAGUC